UACGUAGGGGGCAAGCGUUGUCCGGAUUUAUUGGGCGUAAAGAGCGUGUAGGCGGCCAGAUAGGUCGGUUGUGAAAACUGGAGGCUCAACCUUCAGACGUCGACCGAAACCAUCUGGCUAGAGUCCGGAAGAGGAGAGUGGAAUUCCUGGUGUAGCGGUGAAAUGCGCAGAUAUCAGGAAGAACACCCGUGGCGAAAGCGGCUCUCUGGGACGGUACUGACGCUGAGACGCGAAAGCGUGGGGAGCGAACAGG
rnacentral:rRNA from 1 species